rnacentral:lncRNA from 1 species
GGUCGGCUGCCCUACUAGGUAAGGCAAGCGCUCACCGAUUUCUUUACGUCUUUUUGACCGUGCUUUCCGUGAAUUGAAAGGGGGGAAUUAAUUAUCCAGUAGAGAUGGCAUCCAUUAGCUUAUUGUCGGCUCUCACUCUGGCUCAUCAUCCAGAGGCGGGUUGAGCCCCUUGCACAGCUUUUUAGCAGAUGAUUCCAGGCAAGACAAGAUCAGGGUCAAUGAAGUGUUUAAGGACAAUCAAUGGCACUGGGAUUGUCUGCACACUCAACCUCCAGACUUUGUGAAGAACAUCAUCUCCUCUAUGCAGCUUACACUC